AGGAAAGCCUCCUGUCACGCAGACUCCGGGAUUCUCAGAGCCCAAUAAAGGCACCUCUGGACACAGAAGUGGAAUGACCAGGGAAUUUGAUUUGGAGAAAUCCUCCAAGAAGAUUACUUUUCAGCUGAGACUUCGGUGAUAAGAAGGAGCUGGCCAUAUGAAGACCAGGGUGGAUGGUUGAGAAGCAGAGAAUUUCAGGCAGACCUAUGGCAUGUGCACAGGCAGGCCCUGAAGUGGGAAAGACAUCAAGUGUUUAAGGAAGUACAAGAAGUUCUUUAUGACUGCAUCUAAGCUGGUAACCAGAGAGGAUCACCAGAGGAAGAAGGAGAGGUGGGCACAGAAGAACCAAACAGACCCCAAUAAGCCAAGGUAGGGGGUCAAUUAAAUUCAAAGUCCAGCAGGAAGCUUCAAGUAAGAGAGCACCAUGAUCUGAUUUGGAUUUUUGGAAGAUCAUUCUUCUACAGGAGAAAAGACUAAAAGGGGCAAGCCUGGACAUGAUAGAAUGAGGUGGGAAGCCACAGUAAUCCAGGUAAGACGAGAUGCUAUCUCAAAUGAAGGUGCAGAGUUGGAUAUGGUGAAAACUAUAGUAUAGAUUAUGGAGAUGGGAAGAAGAGAACACAUUCGAGAAAUACGUUGGAGACAAAAAUAAAAGAUUUUGUGUAUGUGUGUCUUGUCUCCCAACCAGACUGCUGUCUCUUAGAAGAAACUGUCUUCACACUUGCAUUGGGAAAUCUCUGUAUUUUCUGCCCAAUUUUUCU